rnacentral:rRNA from 1 species
UACGUAGGGUGCAGGCGUUAAUCGGAAUUACUGGGCGUAAAGCGUGCGCAGGCGGUUUGCUAAGACAGGUGUGAAAUCCCCGGGCUUAACCUGGGAACUGCGCUUGUAACUGGCAAGCUAGAGUGUGGCAGAGGGGGGUGGAAUUCCACGUGUAGCAGUGAAAUGCGUAGAGAUGUGGAGGAACACCGAUGGCGAAGGCAGCCCCCUGGGCUAACACUGACGCUCAUGCACGAAAGCGUGGGGAGCAAACAGGAUUAGAAACCCCAGUAGUCC